CAUUAAAUGGCACUCAAAGUUCAAAUGUAAUAUUUUAAAGGGGUCAUAUGAUGUUGCUAAAAAGAACAUUAUUUUGUGUAUUUGGUGUAAUGAAAUGUGUUUAUGCGGUUUAAGGUUCAAAAAACACAUUAUUUUCCACAUACUGUACAUUAUUGUUUCUCCUCUAUGCCCCGCCUUUCUGAAACGCUCGAUUUUUACAAAGCUCAUCGGUCUGAAAAGCGAGGUGUGCUGUGAUUGGCCAGCUAUCCAGUGCUUUGUGAUUGGCCGAAUACCUCAAGCGUGUGACGGAAAUGUUACGCCCCUCACCAUACUGUGAUGCGUGUCCGGCCGGAGCGACGAGACAAAAACAUUAAAACCCAUUAUAAAUCAGGCAUUCAGUGGGGGCGUGUUAGAACGAGCAGUUUUAGGUAGGCGUGGCUGACUCUUAACUUUUAUAAAGAAUAUCUCUUUGGAUUUGAGACUUUAGUCUUUGCAACUUUACAGAUCUUCUUUUUGCACCAAGAGCUUGUAACACUCCAACGAGAAAGGAAAAAUUGAAAUCGCAUCAUAUGACCCCUUUAACUAACUUAUAAAGGCAUUUGCUGCCACCUACUGCUGCGACAAUGUAACCGGCACUGAAGUCUCUGAAAAAUUCCCACCACUAACAAACAAACUGACAGCCUUUCUACAACAUGCUGUUUAUUUGUCUUUUGUUUUAUUUGACUUUUUGGCAGUAUCAACAUGAGGAAGAGACACAGAUCACAGUCUCCACAUCCCAGCUGUGUGUCUGUGAAGAGUAGCAGAUCCAUGAUGCUACCUGAAACUUUCAAUGAUGCAGUGACCUCUGACCCUCCAACAUCUUUGACCUGCACUGCAUCCAGUGAGGCUGGAGACCUGCAGAAACCAGUGGAUGAUGUUCUUCAGAGAGUCAAAAAUCAACACAAAACCAUCAUGAAGAACAAGUACGGGCAAUGUGAUGUUCUAUGAGGAGGACCUGAUUGAGAGCAGCAUAGACGUCACUGAUGCCUCAGUGUAUUCUGGGAUUUGCACUGAGAUCUUUAAGGAGGAGUUUGUGCUUCAUCAGAGGAAAGUCUACAGC
rnacentral:lncRNA from 1 species